GUGAACGCUGGCGGUAGGCCUAACACAUGCAAGUCGAACGGCAGCACAGUAAGAGCUUGCUCUUACGGGUGGCGAGUGGCGGACGGGUGAGGAAUACAUCGGAAUCUACUUUUUCGUGGGGGAUAACGUAGGGAAACUUACGCUAAUACCGCAUACGACCUACGGGUGAAAGCAGGGGAUCUUCGGACCUUGCGCGAUUGAAUGAGCCGAUGUCGGAUUAGCUAGUUGGCGGGGUAAAGGCCCACCAAGGCGACGAUCCGUAGCUGGUCUGAGAGGAUGAUCAGCCACACUGGAACUGAGACACGGUCCAGACUCCUACGGGAGGCAGCAGUGGGGAAUAUUGGACAAUGGGCGCAAGCCUGAUCCAGCCAUACCGCGUGGGUGAAGAAGGCCUUCGGGUUGUAAAGCCCUUUUGUUGGGAAAGAAAAGCAGCAGGUUAAUACCCCGCUGUUCUGACGGUACCCAAAGGAUAAGCACCGGCUAACUUCGUG
rnacentral:rRNA from 1 species